UCCACAACUUUCGAGCUGCCGCAGCGUCGAUCAGCGUCGUGUUCAACUUGCGCCAUGUUUCUCGCCCCGCCAGUGCCAUUUUAAUUCCAACUCACUUCGCAAUCCUUCAUGGUCGUCGCGCGGCCGCCGCCGCUCCCACGCAUGUAUGUGGCAGAGGGACGGCGUACGGCAAGGCGAAAGAGAGCCGUGUUCGCGAAAAUGGUGCAUAACCGCCGCCGCUACACGUGAAGAAGGGGCAGGUGCGUUGCCGUCACGCGCGCGCCGAACGUCGGGUCGGCCGCUGGCCCGCACUGCGUUCUUCCACCGCCGCUCGCCGCCACGGUAACGGGCCGGCCCGGAAGGAGACAUCCUCGUCUCGCCACUGCAGCCCACCCAAUUCAAUCGGCCCUCCCGACCCACAUGGACGCCGUACGCCGACAACUGGGCUUGGAAGACAGCGUCGUCGGAGGCGACAUGGGCUCCGACCGGGGUCGCAGUGGCUCUGGCUUCCCGCUGGACAUGAACAUGUACGCGACGCGCAAGACCUUGGCGCAGGGCAUGCUCGACCUGGCACUGCUGUCCUCCAACGCCUGCCAGCUGCGGCGCGUGCUGUCUGCGCCACCGGGACAGCGAUACCACGGCACGUGCGUCGCCUUCCUCGCGCUCUCCGUCUCCUUCCAGCUGCUGGCGGGCCUUCUGCUGGUGCUGCUUGGCCGAUGGAACAUCAACUGUCCCUGGGAGCAGCGCAAGGCCGACCUGGUGAACAACGUGGUCGUGCUGCUCACAUUUCUCAUCAGCGUCGUCAACGUGCUGCUCUCGGCGUUUGCGCCGGACUCGCUGUUGGGUGACCACGGCCUGAACCACCACCAGCAGCACACAACCGGAGAAUGGGCAGCGCCGCGCCAUUGACUGCGUGGCCGGGAGUAUAGACGACGUUAAUUGCAGCCCUUUGGCGGCUCUGCCGUGUUUGGGGCAGUCCGGAGGCACCGUACCCGCCGGCCUUGCCCGAGCCGGGUUUCGUGACGCCGUCCGGCCCGGGCGGCAAGCGCGUCCGCUGCAUGGACAUGAACCUGUACGCCACCAAGAAGAGCAUC